UUAACCUACGGGGCGCAGCAGUGGGGAAUAUUGGGCAAUGGGCGCAAGCCUGACCCAGCAACGCCGCGUGAAGGAAGAAGGCUUUCGGGUUGUAAACUUCUUUUAUGAGGGACGAAAGAAAUGACGGUACCUCAUGAAUAAGCCACGGCUAACUACGUGCCAGCAGCCGCGGUAAUACGUAGGUGGCAAGCGUUGUCCGGAUUUACUGGGUGUAAAGGGCGUGUAGCCGGGUUGACAAGUCAGAUGUGAAAUCCUGCGGCUUAACCGCAGAACUGCAUUUGAAACUGUUGAUCUUGAGUACUGGG
rnacentral:rRNA from 1 species